GAUGAACGCUGGCGGCGUGCCUAAUACAUGCAAGUCGAGCGAACGGACGAGAAGCUUGCUUCUCUGAUGUUAGCGGCGGACGGGUGAGUAACACGUGGAUAACCUACCUAUAAGACUGGGAUAACUUCGGGAAACCGUAGCUAAUACCGGAUAAUAUUUUGAACCGCAUGGUUCAAAAGUGAAAGACGGUCUUGCUGUCACUUAUAGAUGGAUCCGCGCUGCAUUAGCUAGUUGGUAAGGUAACGGCUUACCAAGGCAACGAUGCAUAGCCGACCUGAGAGGAUGAUCGGCCACACUUGAACUGAGACACGGUCCAAACUCCUACGGGAGGCAGCAGUAGGGAAUCUUCCCCAAUGGGCGAAAGCCUGAAGGAGCAACGCCGCGUGAGUGAUGAAGGUCUUCGGAUCGUAAAACUCUGUUAUUAGGGAAGAACAUAUGUGUAAGUAACUGUGCACAUCUUGACGGUACCUAAUCAGAAAGCCACGGCUAACUACGUG
rnacentral:rRNA from 1 species